GACAUUUCUUAAUCUCCUAUCCUCAACUAUGCCAUAUAAAAUUACUAUCAAGGAAAAGUCAUGAGAAAGUCUAAUAAGCAAAUGUGAGAAAGUUACCAAGUAAUUACUCUUACCAUCUUAAUUUUCUGGGGUUUCCGUUCAUAGAACAAACACAAGUUAGAUUGAAUUUCUCUUUUCCCACUUUAUAAUUUAGAAGUGACACCAAGGGCCAUCUCUCCCAAGAAAUGCCAGAGGUCUUUGGCCUAGUGAAUGUAGCUAAGCCUAUAUAUUCAUUAUGAACAAAAUAAUAAGAACCUUCUUUCUUUUGAGUAGGUAGUUUGCAACUUUGGGAAGUGAAAAACUAAAUCAUUCCCGACUGAGACCUUCAUCUUGAAAAAAUUAAUUCUAUCAAGACAUUUAUUCACAAUCUGUCAAUUGAACUAGAAAUAACCUAAAGUCCCUUUCAAGUCUUAAAAUUGAAUGAAUUUAUAUAUACCCUUUAAAAAACAGCAGACUCCUUGUGACUUAGAACAAGAUGUGUUUCCAAUACUUUAUUUACAAUUACCUGCUAAUUACUAAUGAUCAUGGGAGAUGGAAUAGAUAGGGCAAAUAAAUCAAAACAGAAAAAUAAUCAAAAAGCUUCUAUUACUGAAGAGUAGUAGUUUUUUUCCUGCUAUUAUAGUUUUCAGCACAUAUUUAUUUUUCCCGUUUAUGGUUUCCUUAGACCAAUAUUAAAAUCAAUUUAUAUUACCUAAGCACAUUUCAAUAGAUAACCAGAAAUAUUCUAGGUAGAAUAGAUAAAACAUUCUUUAAUUUAAAGUGAAUGGGCAAAAUUCAAUAGUCGGUAUUUCUCAAAGGAAAUUCAUAAAACUGUACAUUUAAAUUACCUUGGGUGCUUACUAAAAAUGCAUGGACAAUAUCCCAGAAUUUUCUUACCACAUUCUCUGUGAUUAAGGAUGGGGAAUUUUCAUUUUAACAUGCUACCCAACUGAUUUUAAAAUGUGCUAAAUUUUGGCAACCUACAUAUUUUCAUGAUGCAGAAUCAACAUCAUUUCAUUCUAAAAACUACAUU
rnacentral:lncRNA from 1 species